rnacentral:lncRNA from 1 species
UGGUAUGUAACACAGCUGAUCACUGCCAUUGGAAUAAAAAGAUUAGUGAUUAGUGGUUUGCCUGUUGUUUACCAAGUUUAUUUGCUGGUAAAGUUUAUUUCUAGGGAAAAUGCCCUAAUGCCUAAAUAUUUGAAAACUAAAGCCCAUUCCAAUUAAAGUCUUAUUCUUGUGCCCAUUUCAAUGAUUCUUGAGAAAAAGACGUUAUUACCCUGUGUUUAAUUAAAUCCACAUAGUUUUUAUCUCUUUCUUCUUCUUCUCUCUCUCUNNNNNNNNNNNNNNNNNNNNUUACUUUACUUUACUUUCUUCUUCUUCUUCUCUCUCUCUCUCUCUCUCUCUCUCUCUCUCUCUCUCUCUCUCUCUCUCUCUCUCUCAUCCUCCUCCUCCGACACUAGCUGCCCACACAAGCACCGCUACUUCAUCUCCUCCGACCACCUUCUCUUCCCGAUCCACCUUCUACAGCGCCUAAUCACCCGGUCCCCGGCGCCGUCUCCGUCGUCUCUUCUGCCGCAGCCCAACCUCGUCGUCCCACUCGCCGGCGCUACCACCACCGUCUUCUCCCUCCUCUUCUUCCUCCUCGUCUGCUUCCGCAACUCCGACCACCUUCUGCAGCGCCCAAUCACCCGGUCCCCGACGCCGUCGUCGUAGUCUCUUCUGCCACAGCCCAACCUCGUCGUCCCACUCGUCGGCGCCACCACCACCGCCUUCUCCCUCCUCUUCUUCCUCCUCGUCUGCUUCGGCAAAAUCACCCGCAACCGCACAGCCCCGGAAACCGGCUCUAAGUUGCCUCAUCGCUUCUCCUACUCCCCUGGAAGGGCGUUGCUUGCCGGCGUGCGCCGGGGUCGGUGGAGGAGGCCGAUGUGCUCACCGUUGGGGAAGGUGGGUGCCCAGAGAAGAAAUGUGGGUGCUCACCAUCGGGCCGGUUCCUCAGUUCUCUCCUCUCCGGUCAGUAACCAAAAUUAUUAAGGGUCAAUAACUGAAAAUUAAGUGAUUAUUGGGUGUCAAUAACUGAAAACUAAGUGAUUAAUGGGUGUCAGUAACUAAAAACUAAGUGAUUACUGGGUGUCGGUAACUGAAAACUAAGUGAUUACUGGGUGUCAGUAACUGAAAACUAAAAGUUAUUAGGGGUUAGUAAGUGGUUACUGGGGGUCAGUAACUGGUUACUGGGUGUCAGUAAUUAAUCAAUAACUGGUUACUGGGGGUUAGUAACUGGUUAUUAUGGGUCAUUAACUGGUCGGUAACUGAUUAUUGGGGGUCAGUAACUGGUUACAGAGGAAAAUCCGGUGACCGGAAUCCGGCGGUCGGGGAAAAUUCGGUGACCGGAAUCCGGCGGUCGGUGACCGGAGUCCGGUGUCCGGCGACCUGUGACCGGAGUCCAGCGGCCGGUGACCGGAGUCCGAGGUUCCGGCCAAGUCUUUUCAUGUUGAAGAGAUAGGGGCAAAAUAGUUUUAAAAUAAUAUUGUUUGUUAAGACUUUAGUAAAGAUUUGUGCAUUUGGGCAUAAAGAUUUGUGCAUUUGGGCAUAAAAAUGGUUACCUUAUAUUAGAAUGGGCUAAUGCAAAAGAUUAUCAUUGGAAUGGGAAAUAAGGGGUUUGAAUUAGUACUAAAUAGACAUUUUCCUUUAUUUCUAUGCAG